CCCAAAUUCAGUUUUAUUUUCUCAGGCCCCAAACAAAGAACACAGAACCUUAGAGCUAGAAGAGAUCUCACAUAUUAUCUAGUCUUCCUGCUACAGAUAAAGAAAGCAAGGCCCUGAGAAAUUACAUGAACUAUCUUCUAGCUCCCAAUCCUUUUCAGUAUGAACCCCUCUUGACCCCCCUUCUUCCUGUCAAAAUAGAAGAAAGAAGAAAGAAAAAAUUAGUUGUUUUAACUUGGGCAAGUAAUUUUGAUUCUUCGAAUUAUUUUCUCAUCUACGAAAUGUGGGUGUUUGGGUUGAUGGGCAACAUGAAGAGGAGUCUGGGGAAAUUAGAUACAUGGCCUAUGAAUCCUUUUCCAAGUUAUAAAACCUACGAUUAAGGUAUAAUGGAGUCAUUUAAUCUAUCUACCAGGAAGUGGAGGGAUCUGACAGGCUUAUUUCCUUUCUUCCCAAUGCCACCUUACAGCUGUGGUCUUGUGGUAAUAUGGCUGCUACAGUUAGAAACCAAAAUUAGAAACCAAGCAACCACAAGAGGAAAGGCUCUGGAACAAUUCUAGGCCCUGACCCAGCAUUUCCAACCAAAGACACUGCAGGCGUCCACGCUUUGCUGCACAUAUGGUCUCUAGUCUGCAACUCUAUGAACAGUGGGCAAUCUCCACAUACCUCAAAUGCAUACCUAGAAACCUUCAUGCUCACUUAACUGAGACUUUUCAACAAAUCUUAGAGAAAAAGAAAACUAGAUAACCAGUUACUUAACUACGGACUAUAACUCAACUCAUAGCAGAGUAUCAUCAACAGUUCUGCUGCCAUGAUCCAACAUCAGAGAAAUACUCGUUUUUCAUCAGAACCACUGAUAUGAGCUUCUCUGACAUUGAGCUAUGGAUUUUAUUGUUAUUUUAAAGAGAAAUUACUGUCAAGCACAUGAAUUUUAUAACAUCUGUUUUCAUUCUGAAACCCUUUUUCCCAAAGAAGUUUCCUUUUUUUCUCAAAGAAGUAAGAAUUACCAUAGAAGACCCAAGAAUUCUAAAAACUUCACAAACUUAUACAUAAAAAUUAAACAAGUUGUCAAAGUCAUGGAUUUGGGGGUGAAAGGGAGGAGGUUGCAAACUAGUCAUACUGAUGACCUAACCUUAGGAACACCAAAAGAGAAAAGUACCCACUGGAUUCUUCUCUUCCUAUCCAAUUAUAUAAUAACAUAGAGAUAAAUUCCAAGAUUCACUUCAGUUUAGAAUUCUUUCAUGAUGAUUCCCAGGUUGUCUGAGGUAUAAACCAUUAUGUUCAUCCCCCAGAGAGCCACAAGGAAUUAGAAAAAUACAACAGAUCCCUGGAGUCAAGAACUCUUAGCCCUUUACCCACAAAUGACACUCAGCUGGGUCAAUAAUACUUGCUUUCUAAAAAAAUACAGGGAUGUGAUAUUACUCCUUUAUUAAAACAACUUUUUGAGCUGGCCUGUUUAUGUGAUUUUUUUUAAAAAAAACAGUGUGUU
rnacentral:lncRNA from 1 species